GGCUGGUCUGAAGGUAGUGAGUUAUCUCACUUGAUUGUUCACAGUCACAGAUUGACCUCCUUGUUCUACUACUUUCCCCCCUCCUCACUACUGCACUUGACUAGUAUAAA
rnacentral:Y_RNA from 1 species